rnacentral:tRNA from 1 species
GGGCCCUUAGCUCAGCGGUAGAGCAGGGGACUCAUAAUCCCUUGGCCGUAGGUUCGAAUCCUACAGGGCCCACCA